GGACUACCGGGGUAUCUAAUCCUGUUUGCUCCCCACGCUUUCGCGUCUCAGCGUCAGUUACCGUCCAGAAAGCCGCCUUCGCCACUGGUGUUCCACCUGAUAUCUACGAAUUUCACCUCUACACCAGGUAUUCCGCUUUCCUCUCCGGCACUCAAGGAUAGUAGUUUCGAGUGCAGUUCCUAGGUUGAGCCUAGGGAUUUCACGCCCGACUUACUUUCCCGCCUACACGCCCUUUACGCCCAGUGAUUCCGAGCAACGUUUGCACCCUCUGUCUUACCGCGGCUGCUGGCAC
rnacentral:rRNA from 1 species